CAAUAUCAGUUUGAAUAUUAUUAUUAUUAUUAUUAUUAUUUAUUAUUAUUAUCUAUGUUGUAGCCUUUGAUGUUCACCAAAUCAUGUUUAUGACAAGCCGGCACCCCAAAACGAAACUAGAACUAUGAACCUGCUCCAGAAGAAAAUAAAGAAAUCCAAGCAUUUCAUAUAAGCUGAGUCUCUGAGAAGCUUAGGGUGGCUCAUUCUGGGAUUUGGAAGACCACCCAUAAUAGGCUCAUGUAGGUUGUCAGUCACUAACAGCCAACUUCUAGUACAUGAAAAUAAUACAAGACUCACCAGUGAUAUAAGUGUAAGUGUUCAUAAGUCAGGGUCUGGAUUGUGUUUUUUUUAUUAGGCCCCCAUAUUUUGCCACCCUAGGCAGUCACCUAGUUCACCUAAAAUGUAGUGCUGGCCCCGAGUGACAUUACUGUAUUGUGCUAUGUGAUAAAUCUGCAGACAUCGGAAUAGCAGCGCCCCUUCUCCAUCCAUUCUUAUUGUACACCAGAUUGCAGCUCUGGGUUUGCACAGCCAUACCUGACCUGGUGCAGUCCCUCGUAAAAGAAUGAUGUCAACGACAAGAGCCAAUUUUUGGAAUAUAAGGUUUCUUCAUUACACCUGAUGGAGAGAAGGAGAAUGGAAGUAUCAGGAGACAUGUCAGAGCAUCCUGACCAGACAUUGGGCUCACAGCAGACAAUGAAGGAAACCUCAGGAGUGCCCUUUGCUCUCCACAGAAGACGGUCAAGCAAGGAUAACACUAUUAUAAACCUGAGCCAAGACCAACCUUCGGCGUCUACACCUCCAUUAGCCAAGGCAAGUGCAGGAGAUACCGGGGGACUGCAGUGGAAUACCACUCAAGGAAAAUGAAAAAAAAAAAUUUUCUUUGAAAAUAAUUUACAUUUUUUUGUAUUAUUAUGUUUACAUUUUUUACUACACUUUAUUUUUUUAGCUAAAAAACAUGGAUCUAGCAUCCUACUUGAAUGCUACAUGUGGAUGCUUUCCAUGUUGAAUGUUUUCUUUUUUCCUGUGUCUGCAGAUUUUCUCUGUAGGCAUGCUGCUUUCUUUUAUUGGUAAAGUAUUUAUGCUUAGCUGCUUUUUUAGUAUAGUUUGAAUUUGUGUGUUUUAGGUUAUUAAUGAUACUCUAGAGCAGGGGUUCUCAACGUCGGUCCUGGGGACCCCCUGU